AGACAGAGAGAGAGAGCGAGGAGCCUGCGGACCUGGUGAGGAAGACGAGGACAGUGAUGAAGGCAGUGAUGAAGACGAGUCAUCAAAAUGUGAGAGACAAUGUCCAGCCAAAAGACUUAAACCAUGAAGCACCCAGGACUCUGUCUGAGACAUGAUGACGUCACAGGUUUACCUGUUUGAACUGUGGAUGAUGAUGUCAGGUGAUCAGUCAUAUGACUGAGUAGAAACAUAAAUAAAGCUGUAACAGGUGUCUCAGGUAAAGAAAGGGUUUGCUAAAAGGUCUGCUUCUUCUCCUACGAAUCAAUCGCUGCCUGAUCCAGAAUCAGUCCUGAGUGGACAUCCUCUUUCUAUUGGUGAGGACAGAUGGGGACAGGUGAGAGGGAGCAGCUAGAAACAACUCUUUGUCUUCCCUCAGUCGUCACUUCAAUAAAAUGAAAAAAACAAA